CUUGGCAGUUUCCCUGCUUGUUACAAAAUCCAAAUGGAAUACAGUUCUCAUUAUUGUCUGGUGGGUGUCUUUUUCGUUGUUGACUAGUAAAAUGACUGAACUCUUUAAAAGCACAAAAUAGCAGCAAAAGGUUUACAGGCCAUGGCAGAAUGUCAAGAACUUGGAUGCUAUGUGCUCCUGCUAAAAUUUCAAUAUUUAGAGCUGA
rnacentral:misc_RNA from 1 species